GCGAAGAGUGUCAAAUAGUUGCGUGCGGUUCAUUGAAAGGGCGGGAAAGAUUUUCGGGUUCGCCGGCUCGCGAUAAAAGCGACGACGAAUCGAUCGAUGAUAUGUAUUUAUUUCCUCUGUUAAAUUAGUUCGGACGAAAUAACGCGUCUGAUAAGAGCUAUUUCCCUCUUGUUCUCUAUCUUUCUCGCGACACGUGAAGGGCGCGUAAUGCGCGCCGCUGGAGGAUGGAACACCGAACGAACGCGUCCGCCUUCUCAACCCCGUGGCGUGUAACUGAGGUACUCCUCGUGAUAGAAGGGAACAGGACAGAAGUGGAGGUGGAAUCUCCGGUCGGUCUGACUCGUGCUUCUUCCGCUUCCGUUAUCGAGACGUUCAAGAAAACCGAGUAUACGUCGAAGCAGACGUAAUUACACGUCGGUACAGCGAACAAACACAACAAGCGCGUUUUUCAUCGGGACGCUUCUUCUGUAUAUGCUUAACGUUUCGAGGCUGAGCCUCUCUCGGGAGGACCCCUCAGCCUUCUCCAUCAAGGAAAACUCAAUUUUACAUUAGGUUCUUCAGUAUGUAUCAGUACGGCAUGCGCUCGAAUACACGUGCACUCGGACAUAUAUUUGAAACGCGAUAUCAUGUCUCCGCAAACAUGCAGGGUGCCGUCAGCGUCAGAAGUUACGAAAAAUGGAGAUCGUUUCGCGUCGAGUGUCCUGUACAUGGCGCAAAUAGCAGGCAGAUGCGACAGUUCGGGUGCGCCGGAACUAGUUCGACGAUAAUCGGUAAUCGGUGUCGGUCCGACAAUUGAAUUCGACCAACAAAAGUAACAUUAUGGCCGACUACGCGUUGCGUUUGAGAAAGCAACGGAAAGCCGUUCAACCUGGACAUUCCUGCCGAGUGGCUUUAACGAACAGUGAACGGGUCCAUUCGUGGUAAUUCGCGUGUACUCAUUGUCCGUAACUGGCGUAUAACGGAGCGCUUGACAUUGCAUAAAGGAUCUCUAAUUGCGCAGUGGAGCUAAAUGCCUUCUCUGUCGCGCAUCGCGCGCUACUACGAGCGGUCUCUCGAGCGCGCUAGCGCGAUCUAAAUCGAAAAUGGGUCGUGUUCGCGUUACACCGGCCAUGUAAACACACCCUAGAACGCACCGUCGGCUAUCUAAUGGUUUAAUACGACUAAUGCGUCGCCGGAAGGUGGACUGCGAGCUGGGUUUACCCGAGUCGAUAUUUUGGUUCCCCGUUAACUCUGCAAAUUUCAUCGAACUUGAAGGACCGUUGGGAAAUGUCAAGCUUGGGGACCUGCAGUGUUUCCAAAGCGUUGCUUGUCGGCCACUGAAUGUGCUCAUCAUCGAUUGGCGAGCAACUCAUACAUGUGGAAUGUGUGUAUCGGUUACAUAGUACCUACGCAAGUGUCAGUGUUAGGAACGAGUAAUAUCAUGAUGAAGCAACCGGGUGCAAGAUGUUGGAUUAUCAAACCUGGACGAAAAAUCUUGGGAUGUAGACAACGAUAUAACAUACAUUUACAAGUCGUUUUUCUUCAUCUACGAACGCACACAACACACAGGGAAAAGACGCGUGUAAGAGGUCGGAGCGUCGUAAGAAUACGUGGACGCCCGGUGAUACCUAAAAACGUCCAAUUAAAAGCUCACUUCUACGUGCGCAACGUAUACGCGGUGUUAGGUUCGCCAGCCACAUGCUUCACUUUUAUUACAAGCCGGACAAAGAGCUGAUAAGUGAAGAGUGAAAGAUCUUUUGGAUAUUACAUUUCAUCGAUACGACGCAGCUGUGUGCACACAAUUAACGGAGUCAUCGAUACACCAAUUGUUUUACAAUGAUUGAAAGGAUCGUGAGCGAGUGUAUAUACGUCACGCACCGCAUUAGU